AUUGCAGCAACGAGCAGCGAAACUGUGGAAUGUGUGCAAAACAGUGUGAAAAGUGAUCUAUUAGUGAUUAAGGGAAACAGACUCAAGUGGAACUGUUUUUUUGUUUUCUAAUUUUGGUUGCUAUGCUGCUGCUUUAGUUGGAACUCUUAAAUCAAGUAUAACUUCUCUAUGUACUUCAACUAGUAUUUACGUGCUGGCAGAGUAGGUGUCCACAGGAUUCAAGCGGACACCUUUGGUGGCACUCGAUCGGUGCAAAACGAGUGCACCGGACGAAGGGUUCUCCGUGUUCUCCGAAGUUUCAAGUAAAACCAACAAUUUACACCUUUCUUCAAGCGAUUUAAAGUUGAAUCAUGCUUAUUAGAGGAGGAUGCCUUCUUAAAGUUUCAUUUCAUUUCAGGAGAGGCCGCAUGGGGAGCCAUUACUCAAAUUACGUGGAAGAGCGCCAGGGUGGAGCAGGAAGGCGGGCGGAGAUUCCCGUGAAAAACAUUCCGCAGUUAAUUAAGUAAAGCGGCCACAGCUUCCUGGGAAAACCCUGGAAAUGAAAUGCUCCUUGGAUGAUUGGAAAGCCAUUGAGCGGCCACAGCAUACUGGGAGCACAUUGGAAUAGACUGGAAUGCUCCUUGGAGGACCCAAAGGUUGGUAUUUUCAGAGCUCCGCAGCUUCAGCUGCCGACACUAAACUAAAGACUGAUUAAAGCCAAAGUGAUGGAACAAAUCUCACUCAAGCACAGGGCGCCCACUGCUUUUGGGUCUUAAGUGGCCUGUCAAUUAACGGCAAAGUUUGGGGGCCAAAGCAGCGAACGCGUUAAUGGGCCAGAAGCAAUACGGCCAAGUAGCCUCAUUAGGCGCCCUUCAGAGGAGCGGAUGGCAGUAUAACUACCGCACAAUCAGAUUGGAUUACGCAACGAAAGAUUAGCUCCAGUUCGGGGUAGGCAUAGUAGUCUACGAAUAGUUUUCCCUUUAAAAUGAGGCACUUGAUAGGGGAAUCCAAUCGAGAGCAGCCGGGAAGCAUAAAGAAGGCCUCGAAUGCUCCAUACACUCAUCGAAAAAUGCUAAAUUUUCUGAUUUUGGAUCCACAGGAUAGGCCUGCCCCCUGUGCACCCAGCUUUUCAGAAUACGAUACUCGUGUUCAUUUGGAAAUUAGUGUUUGCUUCACGAAUUGUUAUGCCACCAAAUUAUGCAAAAGACAGCAAACAAAUUUGCCAAAAGCCAUCGAUAGAGACAGCGGUGUGUGUGGGCAAACAAAGAGACACAGAUUCAGAUACAAUUACAUUUUCCCACUCUUUUGGCACCCUGACAGCAGCUGUCAGUGCCGGCGAACAAUUUCAAUCAGAAUUUGUUAGACUGUUGCCCUCCUCUCGACGGCGCUGGCUGUCAAAUCGGUAAUUGUGAUGACUGCAUUCGGGAUAGUUCCUAGAUCUUUUCCAUACAUACAUACAUAUGUACAUAUAUUCUGGCAGAGUCGUUUCCUCUGCGAUUCACAUUCUCGUGGGAGGCAAAACAAGCCUUUCUCGGAGCACAGGCCGACCUCCAACCGAGUUGGUUUUCAAGGUGCCACAGCAGGCAGUCUCGGUUGGUCUCAAUACCCCCUAAUACUGUGACUACAACCAGGGAAUUAAUUUUGAAUUAAUUUUGAAGGACUACAACUCUGGUUUUUUUGUUCUAACCUCAAACCUUCAUGGCCGAAACACGGUUGACUUUUCAAAAAUUCAAAAUGGCGGAUCCAAUAAGACCAGAUACUCCCCGGCCUUGCUACAUCUACAUCUACAUCUACAUCUUCCCCCUUGAAAAAGAUCUUUUGAAGAGAAACAAGAAAACUGACUUCAAAUUCGUAAUCAGCGACCCCAAAAGCCCAAAAAAACCCAAAAAACCCUAAAAUACAUAGGGAUAUCGAACAUGAAGAAUAUUACUGUCACGAUUAUUCUGGCUGUCUGGCAGCUCGGCCAUUCUCUACGAUACUUGUGAAAAGUCCAUCUCCUAAGCGUCUUGCAUCAGCAUAAAUUUAUCAUUUGCCCCAAAAAGAAGUCAAAAAACGAAAAUUUUCGCAAUGCCGUUGAAACUACAACAAGCGUUUGAUUUAUUAUUUGAAAAAGUAUCGGAAGACAAUUGGGAAACUCCGAAAAUAAUUUUCAACGAUAUGGAAGAGAUUAACCAGAAAAUAUAUAAAGCCCUUGAAAUUAGGAACUCGGCCGUAAAGGAUGAACACCCUCUCUACAAAUUUCGUCUGACUUAUAUUUUUCCAAAUGAUCCAACCACCUAUUUGGACAAUGGGAAGCUGUUUUGGACACUGGACCAGACCACUCAAGAGAAGGUAAAGAAUGAAGCACGUAAGGCGUAUAAGUUGCUGUUUCAUUUAAGUGGAAACUUAAGCAAAGUCGACGACGCUUUAUUUGCAGCCAUAGAUAAACAAAUACCAUCUGAUGCUAUCGAAUUGACCCUUGAGGGUCUUAAACACAUAAUUACUGUCUCUGACAAUCCCGGACACUUGUCCUUCGUGUACAACAAGCUAAUGGAUCUCAAGCAGUCGGACAGCGUGGACGUUGCAGAGCUUAUGGCCUUGUUUGGCCUACACUAAACGUACCAGAUACUCAUGAGGAAUGUGCUCAUAUGUGAAGGUUCUCUACUACCUUUUGAGCUUUCAGUAUCUUUUCAUAUUCUGCAUUAUAACAAUAAAACAACUAUUACAUAUGCAUU